ensembl:rRNA 5S_rRNA 5S ribosomal RNA
UACCACAGCUAUAUCACCCUGCAGCCCUAGACCUGCUACUCACUGAAGCUAAGCAGGGCUGAGCCUGGUCAGUACCUGGAUGGGAGAGCACAUGGGAAAACUAGGUAGCUGUUGGAA